GGGGCGGUAGUGCAGCUUGGUUCUAACACACUGGCCUGUCAAGCCAGAGAUCGCGGGUUCGAAUCCCGUCCGCCCCG
rnacentral:tRNA from 1 species